GACGAACGCUGGCGGCGUGCUUAACACAUGCAAGUCGAACGGAAAGGCCCUGCUUUUGUGGGGUGCUCGAGUGGCGAACGGGUGAGUAACACGUGAGUAACCUGCCCUUGACUUUGGGAUAACUUCAGGAAACUGGGGCUAAUACCGGAUAGGAGCUCCUGCUGCAUGGUGGGGGUUGGAAAGUUUCGGCGGUUGGGGAUGGACUCGCGGCUUAUCAGCUUGUUGGUGGGGUAGUGGCUUACCAAGGCUUUGACGGGUAGCCGGCCUGAGAGGGUGGCCGGCCACAAUGGGACUGAGAUACGGACCAGACGGCUACGGGAGGCAGCAGUGGGGAAUAUUGCACAAUGGGCGGAAGCCUGAUGCAGCAGCGCCGCGUGCGGGAUGCCGUCCUUCGGGUUGUAAACCGCUUUGGCCUGUGCCGAAGCGUGAGUGACGGUAAUGGGUAAAGAAGCACCGGCUAACUACGUG
rnacentral:rRNA from 1 species